rnacentral:rRNA from 1 species
AGCUCCAAUAGCGUAUAUUAAAGUUGUUGCCGUUAAAAAGCUCGUAGUCGAACUUCGGUCCCUGUUGGUCGGUCCGCCUUCUUGGUGUGUACUUACUCGACGGGGACUUACCUCCUGGUGAACUGCAAUGUCCUUUACUGGGUGUUGUAGCGAACCAGGACUUUUACUUUGAAAAAAUUAGAGUGUUCAAAGCAGGCCUACGCCCGAAUACAUUAGCAUGGAAUAAUAGAAUAGGACGCGCGUUCCCAUUUUUGUUGGUUUCUGAGAUCGCCGUAAUGAUUAAUAGGGAUAGUUGGGGGCAUUUGUAUUCCGUCGUCAGAGGUGAAAUUCUUAGAUUGCCGGAAGACAAACUACUGCGAAAGCAUUUGCCAAGGAUGUUUUCA